GAGCCUGGUGGCUGCUGAGAACUGCUAAUUACUCACCACUAUGGUUCAACUCCAUAGCAAGCUCA
rnacentral:tRNA from 1 species